AACGAACGCUGGCGGCGUGCCUAACACAUGCAAGUCGAACGGGAUCCAGAGCUUGCUCUGGUGAGAGUGGCGCACGGGUGAGUAACGCGUAGAUAAUCUACCUGAUGAUUCGGGAUAACACUUCGAAAGGGGUGCUAAUACCGGAUAAGCCCACGGGGUCUUUGGACUCUGCGGGAAAAGGGGGGGACCUUCGGGCCUUCCGUCAUCAGAUGAGUCUGCGUACCAUUAGCUAGGUGGUAGGGUAAAGGCCUACCAAGGCGACGAUGGUUAGCUGGUCUGAGAGGAUGAUCAGCCACACUGGAACUGAGACACGGUCCAGCCGCCUACGGGAGGCAGCAGUGGGGAAUUUUGCGCAAUGGGGGAAACCCUGACGCAGCAACGCCGCGUGAGUGAUGAAGGCCCUUGGGUCGUAAAGCUCUGACAGAGGGGAAGAAAUGUGGGUGGCUAAUAUCCAUACCACUUGACGGUACCCUCAAAGGAAGCACCGGCUAACUCCGUGCCAGCCGCCGCCGUAAAAC
rnacentral:rRNA from 1 species